ensembl:lncRNA
GGGGAGAUGAGAAAAUAGGUUUGGGGUUCAGGAUGGGCAGAAAUAAGCUGGUAGCUAAUCAAGGCAAAGUUUAUUGAUGAUGGUUUCUAUCAUAUAGAGAGUCUGAAACAGGUAGAGGGCUUAGGUAAGCUUUUCGCAUUCACAGUGGAAGUGUAACAGUUAAAAUUUAGGAAUAUGGGGAGACUGAGGCAUCUGAAAUUAGUUUCUCUCUGCAAGGAGUAUUAUAUUUUUAAAGGUUUAUUAAGGAUUAAGGAUUAAAGAAUAUACAAGUAAGAAAAAACACGUGCCUAGGCCAGAUAACCUCACAUCACGGAAGAGACGCAUCUGCUCCAAAACAGAAGUCCAAAAGAAGAACCAAAAACCUUUGCCACCAGCUUAAAUCCUUCCUCGAUCUCGGCCCACCUCAGAAGUCCAAAAGAAGAACCAAAAACCUUUGCCACCAGCUCAAAUCCUUCCUCGAUCUCGGCCCACCUCAGAAUUCCCGUGAGAUUACAAAGCAUUUUGGGGAAGUGGAGCAAAGGCUUGUGGGGAUUGUAUUCCUAUAUUCGAGUCUAUUUUUUACAAAAGGUAAUGAUUUACAAGUUUGGUACAAAGGGUUUGGUUAACCUCAUUGAAUCUAGAAAGUAUUCUACAGGCAGAUAAGUCACAAUAUGUAACCACCUAACCGGGAUUUCCAGAGAAUGCUUGCAUCAGUAGUUUUUGGAAGAACAUUCAGCUACAGCAGGAGGGGUGGAAAAGGAGGGGUUCAAAGCCUCAGUCUUGUGAGAUUUAAGAUAGUGAAGCCCAUAUACUGUAGUGAGUUAAAAUGGUGGAAGAUAUAAAUUGUGAUAGAUAUGAGAGGGUAAGAAAAUUUGACCGCAGAAAAUAUUUUUCACUACAGUGUCUUGGAUUCAAAAUCAAAUAUAAGGUGGUUGCCAGGGAAAUAUUCCCAAUUAUUCAAAUACCCAAGUCAACUGGGUUUUAUAGAGAUUUUAAUUAAUAUAAAUGUGGAAUUAAAGAAAAGAGAAAAAGGAAAUAAGUAUGAAGGGCUUUAAGCCAACAGGCCUAGACCUGAGUCUUAAGAGAGCGAGAGAUCAGUCAGUCAGUCUUUUAACACUCACCACAAGGUCAGCCUAAGCAAGGAAUCUAGUGACACCAAGCCAGCAUCAUCUCAGCUGCUUUCACCAGCUCCCUCCUCCAUCUGAAUAUUUCAGAAUCAGUCCUUCCUCCAUCUGAAUGUUUCAGAAUGACUCCCCCUCAAUCUGAAUGUUUCAGAAUGAUCUCCUCAAUCUCAAUGUUUCAGAAUGACUUUUAGCUCUUCUGGCGAGCUCUUAUUUUUAAGGGCAAAAUCUCCUAUGUCACCUCCCCUAAGUUCUUCCAUCUACCAAUCACUGUAGAUGUUUUCCAAAAGACAGCCCAUUUUGAAUUCACAGCUGAGUAGAUUAAUCUCUUUAGUAAGUAAAAAAAAAAUGCUGCUGUGUCGACUAAUUUCAUUAAGAGAAACCCUCUGAGUGAGUUUUCACCUUUUAGGUCUAAGUAGUUUACAAGUUGCCCCACCUUUAUAGGCACUUAGCAUCCCAUUGUAUCAAUUCCAAAAAUAGGCAUGGCUCAAGGAACUCCUUUCCUUUAUAAGUAUGGUUUUCAAGUACUUUCAUUGUUUAGCAAGGAGUUUUCUGCCCUAAAGCAUUCUUAAGUACCGGUGGAAUAGAGGUCCUCCCAUAGCAAGGAGUUUUCUCCCCUAAAGCAGUCCCAAGUAGGGAAGGGGUAGAGAUCAUCCCAUAGAAAGGGGUUUUCACAUUCACCUAGAGUCCUAACUUGAUUCUUGUUGAGACUCAACCAGCAGCCUUUGCUAUUUUGUAAUCUGAAGGCAAAGUUAAGAUUUAUAAGUAUAAUAGUGGUAGUUUUUAUGUAGAUAGCAUAAAUUUGGGUUUGUCAGAUCAUGGAAGAUUAGUGUAGCAAGUGAAACACAGGAGAAGCAGUUGCUUAUGGAACCUGGGAGUUUAUUUGGGUGGAUUUAGAAUCCCUUAGAAUUAGAAACCCUUUAUUUAUCCUUAUAUAUUUCAAUAAGCAUUUUAUGUUUAUAAUAAGAGUCUCUUGAGCAUCCUUGAACCUGGACCUGAAGGGAAAUUCAUAUUUGAGCUUCACUUUAUCACUGAAGAUUCUUUUGAUUAUCUCUAUUAAAAGUAUCCAAACAGUUUGAACCUGCUUGGCAAGUUAAACAGUUUUCAACCUAUAUUGGAACAGUUUUUCCAUCUAAAUCUUUUAUUUUUUUAUAACUCACCAAAUUUUAUUUUUAGAGUUUCUAUUCCCACAGUUCUUCCUCUGAAUGUGUAUAGUAUUCUUUCUCAUAAAUUCUGGCCAUUUUAAAUGAGUCUCUGUGCACAAUUUGCCAAUCAUAGUUUUAAGUUCUUUAUUCAUUCUUUCAACUUAGUCAGAGCUCUGGGAUUGAUAUGGUAUAUGAAAUUUAGGAGUUAUCCCCAAACAUGAAUAAAUUUGCAGUAAGAUUGAAUCA